AGUGGAGGUGGUGGGAUGAUGCAGGGAUCAGGCACAGACAGUUCGAGAGAGGUUUGGGUGGGUUUAGGUGUUUGUUUGCCCAAGGGGUUGGAUUCACGUCCUUGUCUUUUUCCAGGAGUUCACCCACCAUGUAACGUCGAGAUGAAAAGCACAUUAUCCUGGUCUUGGAGUUUAUAAUCCAGCUCACCCUGCAGGCCAAGAAAAAAAAUGAGAAAUGGUUUAAAUGUCACUUCCAAAUACUAGCUGCAAAGAGAAAACAGCUCAUAAAAAGAUGGGGACCUGGCACACGCUUCAGCUCACAAAGAUCCAUGACGAAUGUUAAGCACCCCCAGCGCCACCCCGCCGUCAGGGAUGGCUCUUGCAUGGCUCACUCUGCUCCAUUUCUCUGGACUUUUUCUUUUCCCCUCCACGAGGCUGGCCCCAUUUUGACAAUAAAAAUACAUUUCCCAGCA